CUUGUAUGAUCUUCAUAUCACAAAAAUUGAGCAAGUUAUGGUUCUUGGAAGUUGACCUUCUAUCUAGGGCAUAAACAAAAUGACCUAUAAUCUUUCACCAGAAAAAAUGACUUUCCAAGCAAAGUUAGCUCUUAAUGCCAACAUGAAAGUUGUUUGGAAAGUCAUAAAGAGUAAAUUUUCUCUUGGAAAUAUUUUCAUAUGAAAAACAUUGUAGGAUAUAGGGUCUAGGGAUCCCUAGAUUUGACUAG
rnacentral:lncRNA from 1 species